GUGUGUGUGUGUGUGUGUGUGUGUGUGUGUGUGUGUGUGUGUGUGUGUAGGCAUACAUGGUUUACAAGACCAAUUUUCAGGUUUACUCACCAGCAUUACGAGACCAAUCGGGUUACGGAACCGAUUUUGAUGGUCUCGUAAACAUAAAUCUUUUUGAUGCUAUAACUAUUGAAUAUUAAUUAUAUAAGGCAUUAUGAAUACAUGUGUGAUUACAUAGAUUCUAGUGCUAACAGUUAAUAUAGUUGUUCUACAGUAAUGGCCAACCCCCUGCCUUUCUGAGGUUCAUACAUAUUGGUCUCACAAGGCAGGAUGGGUUUGUGAGACCAAGACGUGUGUGUCCAACAGCGCCCCCAGAGGCUGCAAGAGACAUUGCAAGUUAUACACGUUUCCGCGAAAAUACACACAAUGACGCGCCAAUUUUACACACAACGCGGGAAAUUCAGCGGGCUUGCAGUGUGGACAUGCCGGGAAGACAGGGAUGAACUUCGAAAAUGAGGCGAGGCAGACUAGACCCCAUUUGUGAUGCACAAAAUCACGUAAGACUGCAGAAGGAGAAAGCGUUGUGUGUCUGGAGAUACAUCAACCCCAUCAAAGGAAGAGGUGUGUUUGCAUUGGAGCCCAUUCAUAAAGGUUCAUUCGUUUUGGAGUACAGAGGAGUUUUGAAGACGACUGAUAAGACUACAGCGUGGAAUGAGUAUACAUACGUCUUCAAACACAAAGGAACGG